rnacentral:lncRNA from 1 species
AUGUAUAUAUUGAGUUGCUCUAACACCGUUGAUGUGUGGUUGCAUUCCACUAACAGAACCUGGCAAGAUCAAGCUCACAGUCAGGGGUGGUUGGUGAUCCUCCGUGUUCCUGUGCAGCAGAAGGACAGAGGUGUGCCCUCCUUCAGCACUGGGACAAAAAUCAGAAGUGUCUGCAAUCUUGCUUUCACAACGUGGGAAAUAACCUCUAUUACCUGGAAUUUCACUGGAACUUUGGAAUAUACAAGAGAAAUAUUUCUCUUGAUUGGUAUUCAUACGACCACCGCCCCUCCAUGGAGCAUCCAAUGGCUUGGAACAGAGCUCUGGGGACUGGCAUCCUUCCACUGA